AGUUCGUCGCCACGCUCCCAGACCUAGAAGGGAAAACCAGAGCACAUCAGCGGCCUGAUCUGGGGUGACAUUUCGGGGCGAAACUGACGAUAUUCGCUGUUCCAAAAAUCUUGAGGUACCGCCAGCUCUUGCCGGCUGUGAAGGUGAAUCAGACAGCAAAAAGGAUCUUGCUCUUCCCUUCACAAGAGGAGAUAGGGAAGUCAGAGUCAUCCUGCUGGAGAGUUUUCCUUUCAUCUCACUUCAUCCCCAUUCCUGCUGUUUCUGGAUGGUUUGUUGUAGCCACAGCACUCUGACCUGACACGUCCGUGUCACAGUGCCUUCUCCAUGCCGAUCCCAACGCCAAGCCAAGCCUCCCUCUGAUGCAAGCUGGAAACUUCACCAAGGCCCACGGACCAGCAGUGAAUACUGUCAGCCAGGGAUCUGGCUCACAAAGUUCUCUAAGCCUGUGAGCUAGCAAGGCCAAAGGGUAAACAAGCAGUGUUUCACAGUUCCUGUGGAUACACAAAACAUGGAAGAUUAAAUACAGAGCAGCCUGGGCUUCGCCAAAGACCCAGCCAAAAGAAAGGCCGUGCAGAGGCGUGUGGGACGACAGAGCAAGCUUGCUGAGCUUCCCAAAACCAGCUGCACUCCAGCUUUCCAAGCUGCACGAGUCCACCCCAAGCCCCAGGAGCACUCGCCUUGCCUGGGAGUACAUGUCACAUUGUCCAGAUGUUGGAAAUCUUGCUUCAAGCACAUGUGACCCACUGUGUUUAGAACAAGCCACCACUGCCAGUUCACUCUUUACUUGUUUCCAAGUGUGUGAAUUCCUCUUUUAGCCUUUAGUGGUUUCUGCCGAAGAAGCAGAUAAAUCAUGGCUAUUUUGCUGUAACGGCUGGAUGAGAGGGAGAUAGGCACGUAGGAAGUACACGGCAGUGGCUCAUGGCUAUUUGCCCACGUUUGGCUUUGUUCACACAAGGGCCUGGAGCCUCCUUUCCCGGUUCCCAGAACUCGUUAGCUGAUGCUCGGCUCUCUCCCCACCCUCCUCCAGCGCCACAGUGCUGCAUAAACCUUGGCCCGGGGUGCCCAGCCCCAUCGGGACGGGCGUUUCUCCCUGUGUGCACACACAAACUCUCAGGAAAGCAGCCUCCUGAGCUGGUAUCUUUCUGAUGUCCAAGGAGCCGGACGGGGCAUCGGCAGCUUGCCAAUGGCAAAACAAAGACCAUGUUGCAGCAGCAGGAGGGGACGACGCAUGCUCUUGGCUGCACCAAGGGACCCAAGCCAGCUGCAGACCUCUGCCCCAACCCCAGCUGAGUCUCCCGCUGCCUCUGGGUGUUGGUUCCGCAUCUGGAACAGGCACAGCUUGCCCUCAGUCUCCAUCCUGUCCGUCUGGAAUCGAGGUCACUUGCACGAGGACCUCCUUUACACUGGCUUCUUGUGCCUGGAGGCUGGGACGGCCGGGAAACCAGGGGGACUGGGACGAAACCACCCUCAGUCAUUUAAAACAGAACUCUCAAAAAAACGCAGCUUCAAAGUAACCCAGCUCUAGAAGCAGAAGUUUUCACGUGGAUGGUCGACAGGCAGAUGAACACAAGUUCACUGCCAAGGUUUACUGCAGAGAAAGUAGUAAACGGAACAGCUUACAGCACCUUUGGGGUUACACAGUUCCCUUCUGCAUCUCCAGCACUUGCAGAUGAUUUCCCCACAUGUUGUCCCUUAACACCCACCAAUUCCCACUUUCUUUUUGGCCCAGGCAGGUCAGGAAGACCUCAGGCAAAUGGUGCCAAACCAAACUCAUCGUAUUUGGGGAGUGAGCAGUUGGAACAAAAAGUCACCCUUGGUGUAACCUGGCUGUGAGCCUGGCCCUGCCCGGGAGUCCUCAGGAAUGCUGCAACAGAAAAGUGGUGCCUGGGGGGGUGGAAAUCCUUCAGUGCUGUGGUGAGGUGACCUCAGGACCAGAGUCAAACAGCGCCUUGGUGCGGCCACACGGGCUGCCUUUUGCAUAGACUACAGAGGGUCAGGAAGGCUUUGUUACUUGAAUCCAGUUCAGGUCCAGGAUACUUCCGCCCAACAGCUGUGAGCCAGGCUGUUUUUUUCAGGAUGCUCAGUGAUUGCCAACAUUUUGUCCGGGAAAAAUGAAACUUGGGUGUGUCUGUGUGUGUGGCUGCUAUGCUGAUUAAUUAAAUCUCCUUUCUGACUCAGGUCCGGGAUUGCCCUUCUCCCAAAUGAUCCGGGAGCAGCAUGGAAGGGGAGAGCUCCACAGCACUGGCACCAGCCAGCGCUUCCAGACGCCCUGAGCUGUGCAAACCCAAGGACGGGUGAUGCUGAUGGGAAGCCUUGAGCCAGGGCAGCUCACAGGAAAAUAUUUUUCUUCUCCCCUCACCGGAUAUGAACCACACAUGGAAGUCUCAUGCUUCAUGAAAGGAAAGAGAAACCAGAGGGACUCCAGCAGUUACACAACAUGCAGGAGCUGUUUGAGAGCUGCCUCCUGAAGGAUUAGCUACAAAUCCUUGUUCCCUUUACAGCUGUAGCCUUGUGCCUGUGCUCAUCCUGUAAAACAGUGUAGAAAUGAAUAAAUAAAAAGGACGGCAUUAAGUAACACAGGAACUCUCGUGUCCAUGUGGUAUUGCCUGCAUCAUCCAGAUGGAAAGUAUCUGUCUAGACAAAUCUGGGAAUUAUGCAAGCUCAGAAUUCCUGAAUAGCCUUUCCUUUUCAACAUCAAGAAACAUUUACAGUGCCCACUGAAAAUACGCACAGAAAAACACAGGGGGGAAAAAAACCCUUCAAUUCCAGCAACCAGGAAACCCAAAUGCUAGCAGUGUGUUGGAUGAGAGAAGGUAUAAGUGCGGGAAUAUGGAGCAAUGUCCCUGCUGUGUGCACGCUGACUCAUCGGCUGCCCCCAGGAACCAGGAUCAUCCCUGGUACUCCUGCCUCAGCGGAAGUGGAGCAGGCUCCAUUGUGCUUCUUGUGGUUCUCUGCUGUCCAAUGCCCUGGACAGGCCGCUUGUUUCCACUUUUCCAGAGCUGUUUGUUUCCAUGGUGCUCAGACAAGCAGAAGGAAUGAAAACAAAGAGGGAAAGAUGGGCUCUCCUGGUGCAAGCCACCACAGAAUAAAAAUAAAUCACUCUUGGCCUGGGAGAGCAAAAAAAAGCAGGACAGAAAACAUGGAAAUCCCACUCUGGCCUGGAAGCCGCCGCUGGCUCUGAGCAGAGCCCAGGGAUCACCAGGGCUGGGAGUUUAGCACAAACUCCUAGAGUUGUAGUGACCCUUUUUGGUAUUCUUGGGAAACAGCGGCCCAGCCAGGGAGACAGAAGAAUGGAGCAGGCAGGAAUUCUCCCCGCAGAACAGUGCAACCCAGGAAAAGGAUAACACAUUUCUCAGUAGUAUAUGAAGAAAAGUCAUGUUUAAAGGAGCACAUGUCGUGAUCCAGCAGCCAUCCAGUUUGUGACAGUUUUAUCACUGACUCCAGGUGGGCAGGAUCAAACCGUCCGAGGAUGCAUCCGAACAGAAACAUCACUUGUGUUCAGUUUGGGGUCACGUUGGAGGAAAAGGGUUGUUUACCAAUCCGGCCUGGCCCCUUCAGUGCUGCAAAGGAGAGAGAGAGAGAGCAUCGUGUCAAUUCUGCCCUCCCAGCCCUAGGACAGAAAGAGCAAAGAGAAAAUGGGAGGAUGAGUGAUAAAACAACUGCUUGUACCACUGUUUGGGGGCAAUCGGGGCAUUAUUUUUGCAGGGCCAGCGGGCUGCAGCAGGACAUUGUGCCCGAGCCCCUGCUGGAUCAGCAGCCCGGAAAGCAGAUGUGCCAAUUUCCUGUCCUUGAUGAUGAUGGGCCCUAAUUACGCCAGAGCUGUGGCAAUGUCCUUUCUUGUGCAUGACCCCUAAUUUGGUUUCAUGAAGUCAUCUGUGCCAGGUUCUUCCGGCUGCAAGGCUGGGAUACAGAUAUACAAGGCAAACCAAAGGUUUCGGCUGCUAUUCAGUGCCUCCUCAUUUGUCCCGGAGCCGUAACAGUGGUGCCCUUUCUCUUCUGGCUGCUUUUCCCUGCUUCUGGAGCAGCAGUUAUGGGAGAAGCAGAUGGCUACUGAUUGGGUGAGCUUUGUGGCUUUAAUACUGAAUACUUUAUGGAAAAGGACUUUAUCAUGCUUGGUUGGUCAGAGGAACAACGGGAUGAGAUUUAUGACUAGAGAAAAUAAAUCUUUUUAAGUUUCAAGCUCCUUCACACACCCCACGUCAA